GUGGGGAAUAUUGGGCAAUGGGCGCAAGCCUGACCCAGCAACGCCGCGUGAGGGAAGAAGGUUUUCGGAUUGUAAACCUCUGUCGCAAGGGACGAAGAAGUGACGGUACCUUGUGAGGAAGCCCCGGCUAACUACGUGCCAGCAGCCGCGGUAAUACGUAGGGGGCGAGCGUUGUCCGGAAUUACUGGGCGUAAAGGGUGCGUAGGCGGUUGCUUAAGUUGGAUGUGAAAUACCCGGGCUUAACUUGGGGGGUGCAUUCAAAACUGGGCAACUAGAGUUCAGGAGAGGGAAGCGGAAUUCCUAGUGUAGCGGUGAAAUGCGUAGAUAUUAGGAGGAACACCAGUGGCGAAGGCGGCUUUCUGGACUGACACUGACGCUGAGGCACGAAAGCGUGGGGAGCAAACAGGAUUAGAAACCCCUGUAGUCC
rnacentral:rRNA from 1 species